AGGACGAACGCUGGCGGCGUGCUUAACACAUGCAAGUCGAGCGGUAAGGCCCUUUCGGGGGGUACACGAGCGGCGAACGGGUGAGUAACACGUGAGCAAUCUGCCCUUCACUUCGGGAUAAGCCUCGAAAACGGGGUCUAAUACCGGGUAUGACUGCGCCAUGCAUGUGGUGUGGUGGAAAGUUCUGGCGGUGAGGGAUGAGCUCGCGGCCUAUCAGCGUUGUUGGUGGGGUAAUGGCCUACCAAGGCUUCGACGGGUAGCCGGCCUGAGAGGGUGACCGGCCACACUGGGACUGAGACGACCGGCCCAGACUCCGUACGGGAGGCAGCAGGUAGGGGAAUAGUUGGGACAAGUGGGAGAAGGCUGAUCCAGCAACGCCGCGUAGGAGGA
rnacentral:rRNA from 1 species